rnacentral:lncRNA from 1 species
CUUGAACAUCCCAGGGGAUGGAAGGCACAUCCCAGGGGAUGGAGGGGAGCUGCUCCUGACCAUGUGCUUUUCCUUUCCAGCACAAAUUGCUGCUGUGACCUGUGCCAGCCUGGAGGGGACUCUGGGCAGCUCCUGCUGGUACUGCUGGAAGAGACACAGGAUGGAGAGUUUGUAUCCAAAGACUCCACAUGGUUCCUUUGUGGUCAGCAAUUGUGGCUCAGGAAUCCAUCCCAUCAGGCUGCACGUGGGCUCCAUGAGGAAUAGCAUCUGCAAGGAAACAGAAGAGGUGUGGAACUGCUGCCCUGACCAAGAUGGGGAUCUGCUCCAAGGAUGUCUUGGCUCAGGGUAAAAUAUGAAUAAAGAGAGGAAAACUGCUGUGAUCUGGCA